rnacentral:rRNA from 1 species
UACAGAGGGGGCAAGCGUUAUUCGGAAUUAUUGGGCGUAAAGGGCGCGUAGGCGGCUUGGCAAGUGGAAGGUGAAAUCCCUCGGCUUAACCGCUGGACUGCCUUCGAGACUGCCUGGCUUGAGCAUGGUAGAGGCUGGCGGAAUUCCCGGUGUAGCGGUGGAAUGCGUAGAGAUCGGGAAGAACAUCGGUGGCGAAGGCGGCCAGCUGGGCCAUUGCUGACGCUGAUGCGCGACAGCGUGGGGAGCAAACAGG